UACGUAGGGUGCGAGCGUUGUCCGGAAUUAUUGGGCGUAAAGGGCUCGUAGGCGGUUUGUCGCGUCGGGAGUGAAAACCUUGGGCUUAACUCAGGGCUUGCUUUCGAUACGGGCAGACUAGAGGUAUGCAGGGGAGAAUGGAAUUCCCGGUGUAGCGGUGAAAUGCGCAGAUAUCAGGAGGAACACCGGUGGCGAAGGCGGUUCUCUGGGCAUGAUCUGACGCUGAGGAGCGAAAGUGUGGGGAGCGAACAGG
rnacentral:rRNA from 1 species